CAAAUUUCAACAACAACUCGAGCUUAAAUAUAUCAUCUGCAAACAACCCAUGAAUCGUUUAAAUACAAAAAGAAAACCAAAGAAAGAGAUCCAGAAAAUCAAGAGUGAUACCUACACUUUGGGAGAACAUGAUUCAAAUUUGGUGAAUGAAACUUUUACCUCCUGAUGCGAGAAUGUGAAAAACAAAAUAAAAAGAGGAUUAGAAAAUUAGGGAUCCUAAAGUAAAUUGAAGAAAAUUAGGGAUUUCAAAAAUGAACAUACCUUAGAGGGAGGAGCUCAGUUUCAAUAUACAUGGAUAUUUUGGAGUUCAUCAAAUGAAGAAGUGUGUGUCUAUGGUGUUUAGAGAGAGAGAGAGAUGAGAGUUUGAAAUUUGAAAGUUGAGAAUUUGUUUUCAAUAUCCAUGGGUUGAGGUUUUGUUUGACUUGGGUUGAAAGUGACGGGACACUGUUCCUUUGCUUGCUGUCUGACCAGGUUUUGUCCAUAUCCAAUUUAAGUUUGUUUGUUCACCAAAAUAGGAUCCAAGGAUAACAAAAGAAGAGGGAAAUUCAAACUUUUGAAUUUUACUUCCAACUCAAGCAACCAAGUUGGACCACUAAGUUAAAAAGGGUAAAAAUCUCUUAUUUGAAUUGGCAAAGACCUAUAAAAAUCUCUUAUUUGAAUUGGCAAAGACAUAUAAUAAAAUUUGCUUAAAUUUGCUACUCCCAAAUUUCACUUCAACAUGGAUAUACACUUUGACAAUAGAUAUGAUCCUGAAAAAAAUAAAAAGGUUUUUUUCUCAUAAGAUAUCAAAGCCUUUCCAAUCAAUAACAUAUCAAAGUCUUUAUAAUAAUAACAAUAGUAUAUUUUAUGAGGAAUGUAUAAUAUUUUACUCACAAUAAUAUAUGUGCUCAAAGGAAACAUGUUAAUUUUGCUCCAUCAUCUUCUUAGUUACCAUCCUUUGAACUCAACCUGCAAUAUUAUACAGUGAGGGUGUCAAAAAAUAGCACUUAAUUUUGUAACACGGUAAUAUGAGGAAGACAAAUAAGCAAAAUUUCCCUAACAUGAGUUUGCAUUUGUAUAUUAUUAAGAUUGGAUAAAAGAAAACAUAUACAUACUUCAGUCAACUAUAUACAAAACAGAGCAAAGUGAUCUUUAAACUAUGAGAAUCUACUUUUUUAAAACUUUAGACCAUUACAAACUGAGCUAUAUACUAUUUAGAUUGUCAUGAAGCAUGAUAUAAUAUAUCUAAUAG
rnacentral:lncRNA from 1 species